GGCUGCCUGGCGAAAUGGCAUCGCGUCUGACUACGAUACUACGUAAUCAGGAGAUUGCAGGUUCGACCCCUGCGGCGGUCA